GGCCUUUUGAUAAUAAUUUAAGGUCUGACCUGCCCAAUGAUUUAAGUAUUGAAUGGCCGCGGUAUUUUGACCGUGCAAAGGUAGCAUAAUCAUUAGUUUUUUAAUUGAAAGCUUGUAUGAAGGGUUUAAUGAGAAAAUAGCUGUCUUUAUUUAAAUUUUUUAGAAAUUUAUUUUUAAGUAAAAAAGCUUAAAUGAAUAUUAAAGACGAGAAGACCCUAUAGAGUUUUAUAAUUUUAUGGGAUUGUUAUAUUUUAGUAUUAUUUAAUAAUUUUUGUAUGAUUAUUUGGUUGGGGUGAUUGGAAAAUUAGUUAAACUUUUUCAUGUAAAAUUUCAUUAAUUUAUGAAUUUUUGAUCUUUAUUAAAGGUUAUUAGAUAAAAUUACCUUAGGGAUAACAGCGUAAUUUUUUUUAGAGUUCUUAUCGAAUAAAAAGGUUGCGACCUCGAUGUUGGAUUAAAAUUAAUUAUUGGUGUAGAAGCUAAUAAAAUGGGUCUGUUCGACCCUUGAAUUUUUACAUGAUCUGAGUUUAAACCGGUGUGAG
rnacentral:rRNA from 1 species